GCCCCGCCCCCUCCCGGGCCCGACGCGAGCACGUUGGGUAGCCAGGGCCGGUUGAAAAGCCGCCCGAAUCCGGAGCAGCUCCCGGGGCGAGAGGCACGCUUAGGGCCGCGGUGGCGGUUAAGAGGCGUCUCUGUGGCUGGAGUGCGGUCCCCGGGGGCGGAGGGGCCGGGUGGGCCGAGACCUCGGCGGCCUGGCCCGCCGCCCUUCCUCCCCUACGCCCGUCGACCUUGUGGGCGGAAGCUCCCUGGAGCGCCUCACGCCCGCGCGAUGGCGACUGCCGCGGAGACGGAGGCCCCUUCGACGGACGCGAGCUGGAAAAGCCGCGGCGGCGGCGGCGGAGACGACGGGAUGAAGCCAGCGCUUCCGGAGCUUGAGUCCUCCCUACAAAAUGGCGGCGGCGACGGCGGCGGCGGCGCGGGGCCUGAGGAGACCGCGGCAGCUGAAGCCGCCCGGAGCUACGGCCACGAGCAGCCUCAGCAAACCUCCGAAGCGGCCGCGGCCGCUCUGCCCAAAGGCGCCGAAGAGCCGGAAAGGCCUUUUAGGCGGAGUUUUCAGAUCCCCAGGAAGAGCAGAGAAAAGAAAGCUCUUUUCCAGCCAUUAACUCCAGGGUCUCGAGAAUUUGAAGAUGUUUUAAAUAUUCUCCAUUCAUCUUACCUUGAACCAUCAUCAGUAACAUAUUUUAACUAUAGACGAGCUUGCUUGAUACAUAAUGAACUUUUGGAAAAAGAGUUUACAGAAAAGAGAAGAGAAUUGAAGUUUGAUGGUCGUUUAGAUAAGGAACUUUCAGAAUCUUAUGCAUUUCUCAUGGUUGAUCGGUACCAGGUUCAGAGCAUAUGUGAAAAAGGAUUGCAGGUGGGCCAAUCCAAAAUAACAGUUCUUGGCAGUCCUUCCAUGGGUAUCUAUCUUUGUAGGUAUGCAGAUCUCUUACAGGCUAAUCCUUUGGAGGCUGGGGCAGUAGGCGAUGUUGUUAUUUUUAAAAUCAUGAAGGGUAAAAUAAAGAGUAUUUAUGACCCUCUCAGUGUAAAAAGCUUGGAAUCCAUGUUAAGUAAAAAUGCUUUGGACCCUACCCCAAAACAUGAAUGUCAUGUGUCUAAAAAUGCCAGUAGAAUUACAUCCCUCUUGGCAUAUAGAGCCUAUGAGCUUACUCAGUAUUAUUUUUAUGAGUAUGGCUUUGAUGAAGUAAGACGAAGACCAAGACAUGUUUGUCCGUAUGCAGUUGUGUCUUUUACUUACAAAGAUGAUGUACAAACUCCAAAGUUUUUGUCUCCAUUGAGAUCUAACAGCUUUAAUGCAGAUAGAAACAUAGAUAAGUUUAACUAUACCUUGUGGAAAGGACAACUUUUAAAUAAAGGAAAGCUUCUCUGUUAUAUUUCUUUGAGGUCCGCCAAUCGUGCCUUUCUACCUGUCAAGCUUCCUGAGAAAUUGGAUGUUGAAACAGUUAUGAGUAUUGAUUGUUUGAAACAGAAAAUUCCUCCUUCAUUCUUUUAUAAAGACACAUAUGUGGGUCCCAAUGAAGUUUUAAAGAAUGGAAUGUAUUGUAGCCUUUAUGAAGUUGUAGAAAAGACAAGAAUUGGAAGUAAUAUGGAAUGUUUACUGCAAAAACUGGAGAAAGAAAAACUUGUUCUUGUUAAACCUUUAGGAGACCGAGGAUACCUUUUUCUUCUUUCUCCUUUCCAGAUGGUUUCUCCAUAUGAACAUCAGACUGUCAAGUCACGAAUCCUACAUGCUUUAUUUCUGUUUCAAGAACCUAGAUGCCUAAUUAUCACACAAAAAGGUAUAAUGAAUACAACACCACUGGAGAAGCCUGAGAACUUAGCAGAUAUAUUAAAAAUAACUCAGUUUUUACAGUUUUCUCUGAUUCAAUGUAGAAAAGAAUUCAAAACUAUAAACACUAUAAAUUUUCAUUCUGUUGUUGAAAAGUAUGUAAGUGAAUUUUUUAAGCGAGGUUUUGGUUCGGGUAAGCGAGAGUUUUUUAUGUUUUCAUAUGAUUCACGAUUAGAUGAUAGAAAAUUCCUAUACUCAGCACCAAGAAAUAAAUCCCAUAUUGAUGACUGCUUACAUACCUACAUUUACCAGCCAGAAAUGUAUCAGUUGUCUAUUUUUAAAUUAAAAGAGUUAUUUGAGGAAAAUUGGAGACGCCAGCAGUUUAGUCCACUGUCAGAUUAUGAAGGUCAAGAAGAAGAACUGAAUGGUUCAAAAAUGAAAUUUGGAAAACGGAAUAAUUCAAGGGAUGAAACUACUGAACCUGAACAGCAGAAGUCGUCUCAUUCUUUGGAUUAUGAUAAAGAUAGAGUCAAAGAGUUGAUUAAUUUAAUUCAGUGUACAAAAAAAAAUGUGGGUGGAGAUCCAGAUCCAGAAGAUACAAAAAGCAAAAAUGUCUUGAAGAGGAAGCUUGAAGAUCUACCUGAAAAUAUGAGAAAGUUUGCCAAAACAAGUAAUUCAACUGAAAGUUGCCAUCUAUAUGAAGAAUCUCCACAGUCCAUUGGCUUACUUGGACAGGAUCCUAACUUGAGAGUGCAGCAGGAAGAUUCCGGGAACACUGGGGACAUCCACAAGCUUUAUAAUUGGCUAUCGGAAGCACUAGCAAAUGCACGACACUCAGACGGAUUCCUGACCGAGACAGUCAACAAGGCUUUAGGAUUGAGUAGUAGUGGUGCCUAUGAAGAGCUGAAGCAAAAAUGUGAUUAUGAGUUGAACUCUACUUUAGAUAAAAAAGAAUCUGAGCAGCCUGCUUGUACAAAAAUUGAAAAUGUGCAUUUUAAGGAUGCUCAGAGCCCAUUGCUAGAAGUGGAUGCAGCAUCUGUAAAGUAUCCUCCUCUUCUGUCUAGCAGUGAGGAUCCGAAUUUAAUUAAUGUCAAUAAUUUUGAAGGGUGCAGUCUCUGUCCCACGGUUUCUAUUGAGCAUGGAUUCCUUAGACAACAUUCUAAGUCAAAUGAUGAUGAAGAGACAGAAAUACAUUGGAAAUUGAUUCCAAUUACAGCUUUUGGAAAGAAAUCGAAGGAAGAAUGACUUGCUGAAAAGUAAAUGGCUUGUGACCUACAAUCUAUGAGACCUAUAGGGAGUCUGAGAAGAAUUUCUAAAACUCGAUGAGUUUCCGUGGGCUUCAGCACUUCAUACCUCUGUACUUCAUACCUUACUGGAGAAGGCAAGAGACCCUAGACCUGAUGCUAGAGAGGGAAUUACUACUCUUUUAUGAAAUUGGAGGCAUAGUGAUACUUGAAAAUCAAAUAGAAAAUAGUUUGUAGGUGGUGGUUAUCUUAAUCUUUCUGCAUUUAAACACCUUCAUAAUUGUUGUUGAGUUGCUUAAGAAGGAAUAUAGCUGUUGAUCUUCGACAUCACCUGAGUGGAAAGGGAAACAACUUCCCAUUUCCAAAUGACCUAUCAAAAAUGUUUAGGCAAAAAAAGGAAUAUUCCUUUGUUAGCAUUUGUGGUUGUCUGAAAGGUGCCUAAUGGGCGUCACUGGUAUCUGAAGAGAGACUACAAAUCUAAUGGAUGCUUUCCUCAGGAGGGAAUGCAGGAAGCCCAGAAGACCAGCAUGGGAAACAUGGUGAGAAACAAACACCAGGUGAGAAGGCCCACUUUGCUUUUCUUCCCAAUGUGCCCUUCUUCGGAAUUGCUAGUUGCAUUCUGGUUCUUCAAGUAGGGCAUGGAUUGACUUUGUGCUCCAUACAGAGAAAUCUAGGCAAGAUUUCUUAACUAUUAUUUUUAAAUUAUUCACUUAAUUGUAUCACAUGUUUUUGUUACACACAUAAUCUGUGUUCUUGUCUAUCUGAUCGGGUGACUUAGGAAAAUGAAAAUGUUUUUCUUAAUGUGUUUCUUCAGAUAGUCUAUAAGAGCCAAUCUUUAUUUUUUUUAUUUUUUAUUUUUUUUGUUUUUUCGAGACAGGGUUUCUCUGUGUAGCCCUGGCUGUCCUGGAGCUCACUUUGUAGACCAGGCUGGCCUCGAACUCAGAAAUCCACCUGCCUCUGCCUCCCGAGUGCUGGGAUUAAAGGCGUGCACCACCUCACCCGGCUCCAAUCUUUAUUUUUAAUAACAGAAUGUAAAAACCAUUUCUUUUCCUUUUCAUACUCUGUUGAUAAUCUUGAAAAUUUUUUGGCCUACUUUUUAAGUGUAAAGCUAACUCCUACAGAUGGUUUAUGAGAUUGAAUACCAUUUCCAGUAGCAAAAGGAAUACUGAUUAGCUACUUGCAGUAGAUACAAAGAUGAUAGAUAGUCUCCCUUGUUUGACUGAACUCAGUUCUACUUCAUUGUGUGUGUUUGUGGCAUUUUCUUGACUGAGAUUGAUAGUGAUCUAUUUAAAUGUUUCCAUUUGUUUUAAUACCUUACUCUUUAAGAAAUCCUAUGGGCCUUUUUGUUAUUUUAAUUUAGGAAGAAAGUUACAUGAUGUUUUGUUGUAAGACGUUUUAGAGAAGUCUGAGGUUUUUUUAAUUUAUAAGUAAAGCUUUCUUUAUAAACUAACUCUUCUCAUAAUUUUCUUCAAGAAGAUCUUUAUCUCUUUGGAAAGAUGACUUAUUUUUGAAAAUACAUGAUGUAAUAAAGUACACAAAUGCUCAGUAAUGCUCAUAUAGGUAUAAACUGUAUGACUGCUACCCAAGACAAGAUGUACAACAGUCCCAGGACCCUUCUGUAUUUUCUUCUAUAUUUUCUUGUGUCAUGAUAUCUCCAUUCACAAUUGAUGGCCACUAAUCUCACUUUCUUUACCAUAUUUUAAUUUUUUGUCUUGAUAAGUUGAAUCCACUCAUGCCUGUUUGGCUCUUUCAUUCAACUUUAUGUCAAGGUUUCAUCUAUGCUGUGUAUUGCCAGUAAUUCUUUGUAGAAGAAACAGUUACCUUGUUUGAACUUAAUAAUGUUCUUUAGACAUACGCGUUUCUUUUCCUUGGGACACUGUAUUUAUAUUUUUUAUGAAAGUUAGAUCUAAGGGAUAUUGUCGUAUGAGAAAUAAUGCAUUCUCUUCACAUGUUAAAAGUCACAUGACUGGUACUUUGUCAACACGUUGUCAACAAUCAGUAAAAUAACAGGCAUUAUAGACAUUGACCUCUGUUAAAUCAUUUAUUGAUGAAGAUGUGCUUUUAAUUGAUAAAGAUGAGCUUUUUAAAACAUGUUCUUAAAAUCAUUUGGAGUAAUUUAUUUAAAAUAAAAUUGAAUGAUGUUUAUUCAUAAUUUAAAGAAAUUUAUUUUGCUUUAUUUAAUAAAGUGACUUGUGGGUGUGUAUUGGGUAUGAGGAGUACAUUUGACUAUUUUAGAUGUGAAUACAUAUAUAUGGAGGCCAGAGGAAAACAUUGGUUUCUUUAUUGCUUUAAAGACAGGGUCUUCACUGAACCAGAAGCUUGCCCUUUAAGUUAGUCUGGUUUGCCAGCAAGUCCCUGAGGUUCCCCUCUCUCAACCCCACAGUGUAACAGGCAUGUGCAUCCAUACCUAGCCUUUAACAUUUUUUCCUGGAGAUUUGAACUGUGGUCCUAAUGUUUGCAUAAUAGGUGCCUUUCCCCACUGAUUAUCCCUCUAAAAUUGUUAAAAUAAAGUUAUUAUUAUUGUUACUACUAAGGGUUUCCCAGUGUAACCUGUCUUUGAACUAGGUGUGCAGAUUAGGCUGGCCUUGAACUCACAGAUUUGCCUACCUCUGCCUCCCAAGUGCUAAGAUUAAAGAUGUGUGCUCCAUUCCUGGCUUGCCCCUAGAAAUUCUUAAUAUGGAAAAUUUUACAUAGGUGUUUAAGUUACAUUUAAUUUUUUAAAAAAAGAUGCUUAAAACUCAUAUCUUGAUAAUGUCCCCCCACCCCCAGUGGUAUGAUGGCUUAAGCCUAGCUCUUAUUUCAAACAUACGUUAAAGACAAGUAUAUUGUCAUGAAAUAAAUGUAUUGAAAACUACCUAUAUUUUAAAAACUUUUAUUAUUUUAAUCAAAAUAGUUGCUCUCAGUUUAUCUAGUACUCAGGACGCUGGGGCAGGAAUAUUUAUGAGUUCAAAGCUACCCUGACCCCACCUCAUAAAAACAAAAGGGAAUUGGGAGUGUGUGUUAAACAACAACAACAACAACAAAAAGAAGUAUGUUUACUUUGCCCUCAAUAGGUCAAUCAUUGGUUACCAACUUCUUAUAUAUCUGUCUAUAUAUUUUAUAUGCAUUUUAAACUACAUUUGUAAGUUAAAGUGUAGAACAUUCAGUAUUUCUCAGUCUUAAAGAACUUGAGCUUUAUAUUUCAUAUAGUUUUAAUUGUUGACAUAUUGGGUAUUUUACUUUCUUGUUUAGACAUUUGUACCUGCUGUUCUUGCUCUGUAAGUGUUUUUGCAGUAACUGAAUGCAGUGGUAAUGACAUUGAAAAAAGUGCAAGUAUGGGGAUAAUAAAAAUGGAAUUUUUUUUGUAGAAAGAAUGCACAGCUACAUCUGAGCAUAAACUUGGAUUGUAAAUUCACUGUAGGUACUAUAGGUUUGAAAAUUUAUAAAUGUACUUUCUGAUUUAGAGUCACCAUUUUCUAUAUUACAGUAGUGAUAUAUUAGGAAAUCAUGUUAGCUAAGACUUAAGGAAAUUGUUUUUCAUUUUUCAAUCUUAUAAUUGUGUUGAUAAAUUUUUAGGCAAAGAUCUUGACUUAUUUCUAAAACUAUACUACUAUGAAUUAAUGUUAAAUAUAGUUUCCUCUUAUAUUUAAAAACAGACUUGGGGUGCUUGUUUUGAAAAGUAGUGUUAAAAACUUAAUCAUUUUUAAAUUUAAGGUUUGUGGAGAAAACAACAGUAUGAUCUCAUCAGAAGUUGUAGUCUCAUUACUGUUGGGUUAAACAAAGACUUUGUAAUCUAAGAUUCCUGGUAGCUGUACUGUUUCUUAUGGAAUUACUUCAAAUUAAAUGCCAAUACUUGAGGGCAUUAUCAAAGGUACUACUCAAUGCAGUUGUGAAAUAUGGUCAAUUCCUUUUUUGUUGAGCCUUUCUUUCCUGACAGAAUGAGUCUGAUCCGUUAGCCAACCUACAUGUGAGGGCCAGCCUAAAAAUAGGUAGUUAAUUUUCUAAGAUGUUAAAUGCUGCAAUAUUUCUGUUGGGCUUUCUUCCAGUUGCCUUAGACUCAUUCUUACACUGACAUGUCACUGUCUUGAUUGGGUGUGCAAUAUAGCAGUGUAAUAGUUUGCUAAUAUCAGGUGGAUAGAAUGGUAGGAAAACAAAAAGUAGAAGUGACUUACCAUUUGUUUAUGCCAGUCAGGCGCUGGUGGGGUUUUGUUUUUGUUUUUGUUUUUGUUGUUUUUAAACUUUUUUUUUUUUUUUGGUUAUUCGAGACAGGGUUUCUCUGUGUAGCCCUGGCUGUCCUGGAACUCACUUUGUAGACCAGGCUGGCCUCAAACCCAGAAAUCAACCUGCCUCUGCCUCCCAAGUGCUGGGAUUAAAUAAACCUUUUUAAAAAGAGGCACUUUAGAACACUUGGAAGAACCUUUCAGUGCUGUUACUGAAAUCCAAAGCGUAGCCUAUAAGUAGAGCAGAUAGGACAUAGGGUUUACACAGUUUAUUGAGGUAUUAAAUUUACUUUGCAGUGGAUAUUUUUAAAUAUAUACCUGAGCUGACGUGUUUUUAACUGAGUUUUUUUGUUUUUUUUUUUUAAUGCUACUCAUUUGGAUUGCUCUUUUAAUAAACUCUUCUUGUAUAGGAAUGAAAUCACCAGGAGAACAGCUGGUGUGCCUGCCACCAGUGGAGGCCUUUCCUAAUGAUCCCCGGGUCAUCAAUAGAGAAAGAAGCUGUGAUUACCAGUUCCCAUCCUCUCCGUCUACAGACACUCUAAAAGGCACUACCGAGGAGGACACUGUAACAGCAGGUCAGGCGAUGGCAGUGGAAGAGCAGUGUGUGCCAGCAGCAGAGCUUCCUAGAGUGAGCGAGAUUACAGAAAAUACAGUGUUAGGAGAGUUCCAUCUUUUCUCUAGGAAGGUAGAAGAGAUUUUGAAGGAGAAGAAUGUUUCAUAUGUUAGUGCAAUUUCCACACCUAUCUUUUCAGCACAAGAGAAGAUGAAUCGCCUUUCUGAGUUCAUACAUUCUAAUACUUCUAAAGCUGGUGUUGAGGAAUUUGUAGAUGGUUUGCAUGAAAAACUAAAUACUGUUGUUAUUACAGCAUCAGCUAAGGGUGUGAGUUUGCCGCCAGCAGUUAGCGCUAAUCAUUCCCAUGCUGCAGCAGCAUUGGCUUCUCUGGGAAGGCGUGUUGUGUCAAUUUCCUCAAGUGACUUCAGUGCUAAAGAACUUUUUGAGCCGCUCUGUUCUGAACAUUUAAAAGAUAACAACUCUAAUGAACAGUAUUCCUCUUCAGUGGAAGUAGAAAUGAAUCGGCCACACCAUUGCAAAGAGUUAAUGUUGACUUCUGAUCACACUGUACCUGGUGAUACAGUCCUGGAACCCACAGAAAAAGAAAUAACAAAAUCACCCAGUGAUAUAACCAUUUCUGCACAACCAGCACUUUCAAAUUUUAUAAGCCAGUUAGAACCUGAAGUAUUUAAUAGUUUGGUUAAAAUCAUGAAAGACGUCCAGAAAAAUACUGUGAAGUUUUACAUUCACGAAGAAGAGGAGAGUGUGCUUUGCAAAGAAAUAAAGGAGUAUCUUACCAAAUUAGGAAAUACAGAGUGUCAUCCGGAUCAGUUUUUGGAGAGAAGAUCAAACUUGGAUAAACUAUUGAUUAUUAUUCAAAAUGAAGACAUUGCAGGUUUCAUUCACAAGGUGCCUGGCUUAGUGACUUUAAAGAAGCUCCCAUGUGUUAGUUUUGCUGGUGUUGAUAGCCUGGAUGAUGUUAAAAAUCAUACAUACAACGAGUUAUUUGUAUCUGGUGGCUUUAUUGUGUCUGAUGAAUCAAUUCUAAAUCUAGAGGUUGUCACAAUUGAGAGCCUUAAAAUUUUUUUGACAUUCCUUGAAGAACUUAGUACUCCAGAAGGGAAAUGGCAAUGGAAAAUCCACUGUAAAUUCCAGAAGAAACUAAAGGAACUGGGCAGAAUGAACACGAAAGCUCUGAGUCUGCUGACUCUUCUGAAUGUGUAUCAGAAGAAACAUCUGGUUGAGAUUUUGUCUUAUCACAGUUGUGAUUCACAAACUCGAAAUGCUCCAGAAAUGGACUGCCUUAUUAGGCUUCAGGCUCAGAACAUACAGCAGCGACACAUAGUCUUUCUAACAGAGAAGAAUAUCAAGAUGGUUUCCAGUUAUACAGACAAUGGAAUUGUCGUUGCAACUACUGAAGACUUUAUGCAAAACUUUACAAGUCUUGUGGGCUAUCACAACUCAGUUACAGAAGAAAGUCUUCCGCCGCUGCUUGGUGCUAAUGAGAACCUUGAGUCCCAGUCAGCUCUUUUAGAAAACGAUGAAAAGGAUGAAGAGGAUAUGUCCCUGGAUUCAGGGGAUGAAAUCUCACAUAUAGAAGUAUUCAGCAAUGUUCAUUCAGAAAUAUUGGCGGGAGAAACCAAAGGAUCAAGUGGAACAGAUCAAAAAAAGAAUAUCCAAAUUGAAUUGCAGUCAUCUCUUGAUGUGCAAAACAGUUUAUUAGAAGAUAAGACUUAUUUAAUUGAUUGUGAAGCGAGCGCUCCUAUUGAUAGAGUAUGCUCUGAAGGAGAGAGCAGCAAUUCAGCAGAACAGGAUGCGUAUAGCGACUUUCAGGCUGACCAAAAUCAGUUACAAAUGUCCCAUCAGUGUAGUCAUUUUAAUGUUCUCACGCACCAGACGUUUCUGGGGACACCAUAUGCCCUUUCAUCAACUCGGUCUCAAGAAAAUGAAAAUUACUUUUUAUCUGCUUACAAAAACUCGGGUACAGAGAAAUCUCCAUUAAGUUAAGGAUGUGUUCAAGGAGAAAUUACAGUGAUUAAAAAAAAUAGGUUGUGGUGGACUUUGUAUUGAUGAUUUAUAAACAAGUUUCUUGGCCUUUCUGAAUUUUUUUUCCUUUCCUGUUUAUUUAAAUCAUGAUGGCCUAUAUAACAUUGAAGCAUCUGAAAAUUUGAAAUAAUUUUUUGACAUAUUGUAAUCAGAUUAUCUCAUGUUAGCACCUUUCAGUUUUACAUUUGUUACCUGUACUUGGGCUUCAAAUUGAAGUCUGUUUUAUAUGUAAAAUUUCAUGUUUAUAAAAGAAUGGUAAAUAGUAAUGACGUUCUUUAAUGUCAGAUGAUAACUAAUUUUGCUGAAAUGUCAACUAUUUAUUUUGAUUAAAGCUUUUGUAUAGUGUUUUUACACAGGUAUAAGCCAGCAGUGUAAAUAUUUAUAGGAUUUUGGCUUAGUACCUCAAGCUAUAUUUAACAGUACAGUUGAAUUCUAGGUAGUGAAUCUAUUGUAUAGAAUACCAAGUAGAAUUUUCUCAGUCUUUAGGUUUAGCUGUGAAAACAUUUGCUUCAUUUAAAUUUUGGUUAACUUUUUGAGAUCUCUUUGAUAAAUAAUAUUUUGUGUGAUCCUUUAGUUAAAUGAACUUUUAAAAGUGGAGCUUCUGCUUUCAAUACUAUUGGAGAAUUUGGAACAGAUCUUGAAGUUUUAAUUCGAACUUGGUGUUACACUAAAUGUGGAGAUAAAUUUUUAAACCCUCAUCUCUUGCCUACUGUUACUAAUGUUAACUUCAAAGUGUGAAAACUAGAAUCUCCACUUAAUAUGAUGAAAACCAAA